GGGGGCGUUUAUGGAUUCGACAGGGGUAGUUCGAGCAUGGGUCGCGGGUAGUGGGGAGCGUCCGCUUCAUCAACGCUAAAGCCAAUUAACUGGCAAACAACAACAAACUUACGCUUUCGCAGCUUAAUAACCUGUGAGCGUGCUCCUACCUAGCAUCGCCCAUGUGACUAGACUAGGGGCUAACAAGUAGUGGGAUACGCCGCUUCGGUCUCCGCCUGGGGUCGACGGAAGAAGAUAAUCAGGCUGACCCAACGCGUAGUCGGUUACGGGACGACGCUCGGGUGACAUCAAUACCGUGACUACACCCGUAGAAGCCUGUGUGGCGUUGUCUCUGGACAGGGGUUCAAAUCCCCUCGCCUCCACCA
rnacentral:tmRNA from 1 species